rnacentral:rRNA from 1 species
UACGGAGGGAGCUAGCGUUGUUCGGAAUUACUGGGCGUAAAGCGCGCGUAGGCGGCUAUUCAAGUCGGGGGUGAAAGCCCGGGGCUCAACCCCGGAACUGCCCUCGAAACUAGGUAGCUAGAAUCUUGGAGAGGUCAGUGGAAUUCCGAGUGUAGAGGUGAAAUUCGUAGAUAUUCGGAAGAACACCAGUGGCGAAGGCGACUGACUGGACAAGUAUUGACGCUGAGGUGCGAAAGCGUGGGGAGCGAACAGG